UUCUUUUUUUUUUUUUUUUUUUUUCGGAGCUGGGGACCGAACUCAGGGCCUUGCGCAUGCUAGGCAAGUGCUCUACCACUGAGCUAAAUCCCCAACCCCGGGUCUUGGAUUUUUAUGAUUAUUUAUAAUAACCAAAUUGCGAUUAUUCACAAUCUCUUGAAUACAUGACUUCUCUGACCUGAUAAUUUAUUUAUCCAUAUUGUAUGGGCAAUGCUGGUUUGCCUGCUUGUAUGCCUGUGUGAGGGUGUCAGCUCUUGGGGUCACUGACAGUUGAAAGCUGCCAUGUGAGUUCUGAGACUUGAACCUGGGUCCUCCGAAAGAGUGGUCAUUGCCCUGAACCACUGACCCAUCUCUCCAGCCCCAACUUUUCUCAUCUGCAUUUUAAUUCUGUCUUUAAUUCUUGCCCUCUGGCACGUUCCUCUUCUACCAUUUAGAAAGCUGGCGCUCAGAGAAACUAGCUAAACCUACCCAAAGCCACAGGGCCAGCAUGGCAGAAGCGGAACUGAAGUCCUCGUGAAAUUGGAUCGUUUAAAGACACAGGAGCAUGGGUAGGUACACGGGGCAGGAAGCAGAGUGCCCUGGUUGGAGGGUGGGGUGGAGUCACAACUAAACUAAUUUUAUGAGGGGGUUACCACAUGAGCAAACGGGCCCUGGUGUGGAAAUAACCUCCAGAUUCCCCAGUGUCUCCCACAGCUUCUUUCCUGAACCAGCACAGCUCAACCUACACAUAUUUUGAAUUAUAAUUUCUUCCUCUGUGUGUAUGCACACUCGCGUGCACGUGCGUGAGCAUUGCCAGGUAGUUCUCAACAACCUUCAGAAGUGGUUCUCUCCUUCAGCCUGUGGGUUCCAGGGAUCCAACUCGAGUCCUCAGACUGGGCCAAGAUAAGGGCGGAAUGUCUACCUAACGUAUUCUCAACAAAGAAGCCCGAGAGCAGUUCUUCUGAAUGCCACUUUCAAAUGCUCACUGGGAAGCAUGUGGAACCACCCCGCCAAGCCUCGGGGCCUUUCCUCGUGGGUCCGGGGAUUUAGCGUGACGAGCCCGGGAAGCCCUGCUCGCAGGGGUGCAAGCUCGCCCCGAGCGCGGGCACGUGCAGAUGCUGCGGCUGCCUCGCUCCCUCGCGGCCUCCCACAGCCCCUCGCGGCCCUGCAAACGGGGUCGGGCCUCCCGGAGCGGCUUUCCUCAGAGGAUCAGCCCUGAGGAUCACGACUCUCUAGGUUCCCCGUGUCGCUGGCUCCCCACCGCGGCUCCCUGUCCCUUCCAUCCCUCCCCGCCACGCGCACGGGAGGAAGGCGGGACCGAGUGAGUCGCCGUCACGUGGGCGCUGGACGAGCAGAGGCGCUCUGCGCAGAAGCGCUCUGCGCAGGGGCUGUCCGCGCCUCGCCGGGCCUUGGCGCCCGCAGCCUCAGUGGAAAUUUUUCAGGAGACCUACUGAGGCUGCGCGGCACUGGCCACGCCCCUUCCCGCCCGUUUGCCUCUGAGCGGGUUCCUCCCUCCCCUGGGAAGCAGCCCCGCCCCCGCCCGCGCGCUUCUGCGCAAGCCCCGCCCUCCCCGGGGAAACCGCCGCGUAAGCCCCGCCCUCCCUGGGGAAACCAAGGCCGAUUUCCCCUGGGCCCUGACUUCCCCAGCAACUCGCGCUGGCCCGGACGCCUGCGGGGAGACCUAAUGUGUGGCCGCCUGGCAUCCUGAGAGGCGAGCAGGGCGCACUGGCGCCUUCGCCUUCGCCUGCGGGUCGCCGCGGCCUCAGCCUCGACACCUCAGCUCCACACGGAUCCCACACCUUCUGGAUAGAGCUGGACGGAGGGAGGAGUGGUUGGGGUGGAUGACUGAGGCUCCCUGAGGGAACCGACGGUCGCCUAGACAAAGCCCGAUCUGGAUUACCUCCCCCUCGCCAGGGAAAUAAAUAAUAUUUCUUUUUCCACGUCCAGAAA